rnacentral:rRNA from 1 species
UACGGAGGAUCCAAGCGUUAUCCGGAAUCAUUGGGUUUAAAGGGUCCGUAGGUGGAUGAUUAAGUCAGAGGUGAAAUCCUGCAGCUCAACUGUAGAAUUGCCUUUGAAACUGGUCAUCUUGAAUCAUUAUGAAGUGGUUAGAAUAUGUGGUGUAGCGGUGAAAUGCAUAGAUAUCACAUAGAAUACCGAUUGCGAAGGCAGAUCACUAAUAAUGUAUUGACACUGAUGGACGAAAGCGUGGGGAGCGAACAGG